GACGAACGCUGGCGGCGUGCUUAACACAUGCAAGUCGAACGAAGAGCGAUGGAAGCUUGCUUCUAUCAAUCUUAGUGGCGAACGGGUGAGUAACGCGUAAUCAACCUGCCCUUCAGAGGGGGACAACAGUUGGAAACGACUGCUAAUACCGCAUACGAUCUAAUCUCGGCAUCGAGGAUAGAUGAAAGGUGGCCUCUGCAUGUAAGCUAUCACUGAAGGAGGGGAUUGCGUCUGAUUAGCUAGUUGGAGGGGUAACGGCCCACCAAGGCGAUGAUCAGUAGCCGGUCUGAGAGGAUGAACGGCCACAUUGGGACUGAGACACGGCCCAGACUCCUACGGGAGGCAGCAGUGGGGAAUCUUCCGCAAUGGACGAAAGUCUGACGGAGCAACGCCGCGUGAGUGAUGACGGCCUUCGGGUUGUAAAGCUCUGUUAAUCGGGACGAAAGGCCUUCUUGCGAAUAGUGAGAAGGAUUGACGGUACCGGAAUAGAAAGCCACGGCUAACUACGUG
rnacentral:rRNA from 1 species